UACGUAGGGGGCUAGCGUUGUCCGGAAUCAUUGGGCGUAAAGAGCGUGUAGGCGGUCCGGUAAGUCCGCUGUGAAAGUCGGGGGCUCAACCCUCGAAUGCCGGUGGAUACUGUCGGGCUAGAGUGCGGAAGAGGCGAGUGGAAUUCCCGGUGUAGAGGUGAAAUUCGUAGAUAUCGGGAGGAACACCAGUGGCGAAGGCGGCGAUCUGGGUCGAUACUGACGCUGAGGUGCGAAAGCGUGGGGAGCAAACAGG
rnacentral:rRNA from 1 species